UACGGGGGGGCAAGCGUUGUUCGGAAUUAUUGGGCGUAAAGAGCUCGUAGGCGGUUUGUCGCGUCGAAUGUGAAAUCCCGGGGCUCAACCCCGGGCCUGCAUUCGAUACGGGCAGACUAGAGUUCGGUAGGGGAGUCUGGAAUUCCUGGUGUAGCGGUGAAAUGCGCAGAUAUCAGGAGGAACACCGGUGGCGAAGGCGGGACUCUGGGCCGAUACUGACGCUGAGGAGCGAAAGCGUGGGGAGCAAACAGG
rnacentral:rRNA from 1 species